rnacentral:rRNA from 1 species
UACGUAGGUGGCGAGCGUUGUCCGGAUUUACUGGGCGUAAAGAGCGCGCAGGCGGUCGUGCAAGUCGCGUGUGAAAGCCCCCGGCUCAACUGGGGAGGGUCACGCGAUACUGCUCGACUCGAAGGCAGGAGAGGGAAGUGGAAUUCCCGGUGUAGUGGUGAAAUGCGUAGAUAUCGGGAGGAACACCUGUGGCGAAAGCGGCUCACUGGACCACAACUGACGCUGAGGCGCGAAAGCUAGGGGAGCAAACAGG